CUACGGGCGGCUGCAGUGAGGAAUAUUGCACAGUGGGGGGAACCCUGAUGCAGCAACGCCGCGUGGAGGAUGACGCAUUUCGGUGUGUAAACUCCUUUUAUAUGUCAAGAAAAUGACGGUAGCAUAUGAAUAAGCACCGGCUAACUCCGUGCCAGCAGCCGCGGUAAUACGGAGGGUGCAAGCGUUACUCGGAAUCACUGGGCGUAAAGGACGCGUAGGCGGGUUGGAAAGUCAGGUGUGAAAUCCUACAGCUUAACUGUAGAACUGCACUUGAAACUUCUAAUAUAGAGUAUGGGAGGGGGAGAUGGAAUUAGUGGUGUAGGGGUAAAAUCCGUAGAUAUCACUAGGAAUACCUAAAGCGAAGGCGAUCUCCUGGAACAUUACUGACGCUAAGGCGUGAAAGCGUGGGGAGCAAACAGGAUUAGAUACCCGAGUAGUC
rnacentral:rRNA from 1 species